CCAUCCGCUCACCCUUACAUAGUGCGACGACUCUACGAUGUUGGUGAUGUCUCUUUUCGGAUAAGCCUGAGAACACGAGUGAAUAUUACACGAAUCGAAAUAUAUAGACGUACACGAGUUCAGCAAUAAAAUCAUUUGAUUGGAAGUUUGGGCCAGAAAGUUAAAUAUUUGAACCAAACGGAGUAAAUUUACGAUAUUGAAAUAGUUUGAUUGUUGGCAGAAAGUUGAAAAAAAUUCUUCGAAACGUUUUAGAGGCAAAUUACUCAAAACGUCUGGAGCCAUUCUAUCAAUUUAAGGAAACGAUCAAAUUCUAACCGAGUAUUCUAAUUCUAUGCGAGUAUUCCGAAAUUGAUGACCCAUUUUCUCCCUUUGAAACCAUCAAACUUUUCCAUCAAACUUUGAUGGAAUACAUACAUUCGUAUGUGCAUGUGUGUGUAAUCCGUCAACAAUAGAAAAUAAAUUGAACGUUUGAUUUCGUAAAUAAACACGUCAAGAAGAAUUUUAUAUAUAUAUAUAUUUGGGGAAAAAAGUUUUCUGAAAAGUGGUGACUGACCAAUCUUUUUCAAUCAACGUAAGCAUUAUUUUUCAAAGUUCUUUACAGAGUACAUUUAGCAACUUGUUAUGAAUCGGCGUAAAAAAUUUAAUUGGAUACGCUCUUUUAGAUUCUGAGAAAAUGGGUCAAAACGAAUUAAAAAAGAAAAAGAGAAAGAGAGAGAGAGAGAGAGAAGAAAAUGAUUUUUAGAGAGAAGCUUUUUCAAGAAGGGAAACUAAUUAAUUUAUUAAACAAGGUGAAUAAGAAUUCGUCUAAAUAAAAGUAGCUAAAAAAAACAAAGAAGAGAAGUCAAAGAGAAAAAAAUUAUUUACAAUUGUUAAAUUAAUUAUUACUUAUUUUAAAGUUCUUGAAAUUAAGAUAAAUUAAGAUAAAUAACGAAGCCUUUUUUUUUUAAAUAAAAUUUACAUCACAUCGAUAAUAAAAAAAGCUUUAAUACUUUCAAUAUUACUCAAAGGUUAAAAGUUUUUUUAACGAUUUGAACGAUCAUACAUACUCGCAAUAUAAAUAUCGAAAAGUGGCAUCGUAUCAGAUGUACAAUUCGCACAAUUGCACUCGGAUUAACGAUGAUUUUAAAUUCGUAAAACGCAAAUAUUUUUACGGAAUUGCAAUAUAUUCUCGUUUACGAUCUAACAAGAACCAUUCUACAUCAAUUGAAAUUUAUCCUGGCUCGUGUAAAAAUUAAAUAUUACUUUGCUACUCCGUAAUAGGUAAAAAUACAUCUAUUUCAACCAGAUUAUGAAAGCUGUGAAUCUCAUCAAUUAAAAUUGGACAAAGAUUUUUUUAUAUUCUAACCUACUGGACAAUAAAUACAAGAGACUUCGAUGAAUAAAUACGAAUUCUUUAAAAAUUUUGAAGAGCUUAAAAUGCCGAGAAAAAUUCGUAACGAAUGAAAUAAAUUCUACAUUGAUAUUUACAGAAAGAAAAAAAAAAGGCGAAAAUCUUUAACCUUUAAACGGUAUUCUUAACGGUAAUCAAUUCCAUUCAAAAAUCACAAAUAUAAAUUUCAACAGACUGUGUAACGUAUGAAUCAACUUUCCAUAGAAUUACCUUCU